rfam:Ciona savignyi cont_30820, whole genome shotgun sequence.
UCCUCGUUAGUAUAGUGGUGAGUAUCCCCGCCUGUCACGCGGGAGACCGGGGUUCGGUUCCCCGACGGGGAG